rnacentral:misc_RNA from 1 species
AAGUCGUAACAAGGUUUCCGUAGGUGAACCUGCGGAAGGAUCAUUACCUUUCUGGCUAUUUAAUAGCCUUGGUCUGGGGGCUCGCAGUUUCUGCAUGUCUCUGAUCUAGCAUCCGUGUUUUUGCGUACUACAUGUUUCCUCGGCGGGCCUUGCUUGCCGGUUGGACAAACCUAAAACAUCUUUGCAAUUGCAAUCAGCGUCUGAAUUAUAUAAUAUUAACAA